UGGGGAAUUUUGGACAAUGGGGGCAACCCUGAUCCAGCCAUCCCGCGUGUGCGAUGAAGGCCUUCGGGUUGUAAAGCACUUUUGGCAGGGAAGAAACAGCCUGGGAUAAUACCCCGGGCGACUGACGGUACCUGCAGAAUAAGCACCGGCUAACUACGUGCCAGCAGCCGCGGUAAUACGUAGGGUGCAAGCGUUAAUCGGAAUUACUGGGCGUAAAGCGUGCGCAGGCGGUUCGGAAAGAAAGGUGUGAAAUCCCAGGGCUUAACCUUGGAACUGCACUUUUAACUACCGAGCUAGAGUACGUCAGAGGGGGGUAGAAUUCCACGUGUAGCAGUGAAAUGCGUAGAGAUGUGGAGGAAUACCGAUGGCGAAGGCAGCCCCUGGGAUGAUACUGACGCUCAUGCACGAAAGCGUGGGGAGCAAACAGGAUUAGAUACCCUGGUAGUCCACGCCCUAAACGAUGUCAACUAGCUGUUGGGGUUUAUUAACCUUAGUAGCGCAGCUAACGCGUGAAGUUGACCGCCUGGGGAGUACGGUCGCAAGAUUAAAACGUUAAAUGAAUUGACGGGGGUCAUAGCUGUUUCC
rnacentral:rRNA from 1 species